AUUAUAUGUAUUGAUAAAGGCAAGGGCAUAGGGCUAGGGAGACAGCAUUCUCCAAAGCUAACAGUAAUUCUCUUGUCAAUUAAGCAAAUUGUGCCAACGCCUCCGGUAGGGCAAGGUGGGAUGAAGGAUGUGGGUGGGUGCAGUAGUGGUGGCUGAUGAAGAGCUUCGGAGACCUUCAGUGAUGGUGGAUACGCAGAGGACUGAGGUGUGCCAUGUUGCCCUCUGCGUCCAUGGUCACUGCAAUCUUCCUGCAGUAUGGCAAGAUGUGCCUCUACGUUUCUGAUGAGUGGUAGCCUCUGUAGCUUGACCCAGUAGCCAAAGAUGCCUUGUGUGUACACCUCGGCGAGAUGAGAACGGCCACACGCACUGCCUGAAUUCUGAGGCAAAGGACAAACAGGAAAAAAUUAGAUUAACGGGAAGAGAAGGCUAGACAUGAGCAUGGAAUAUAUGCAGAGAAAACAUGCAGGAAGCCAAAAUCCCAUUCAGAGUUUGCCAAAUUACCCAUGACUUCUUUCAAACCCCUCCUUAUAACUCCUCAUUGUACGCAAAGCCCAUAAGAACAAAAUUAAUAACAGUGUAUGAGUAUCAAUUAUACAUUGCAGAUGUAAAUUUUACAAGCCCCCUCUACUCUGCAGGAGAGGGGCCUCUUUAUUAUGUGCAGUAGAGAAUGCACUGAGCAAAU